UACGUAGGUGGCGAGCGUUGUCCGGAAUUACUGGGUGUAAAGGGCGUGUAGGCGGGUGGACAAGUAGGAUGUGAAAAACCAUGGCUUAACUGUGGGGCUGCAUCUGAAACUAUUCAUCUUGAGUGCUGGAGAGGGAAGCGGAAUUCCAAGUGUAGCGGUGAAAUGCGUAGAUAUUUGGAGGAACACCAGUGGCGAAGGCGGCUUUCUUGACAGUAAAUGACGCUGAGCCGCGAAAGCGUCGGGAGCAAGCAGG
rnacentral:rRNA from 1 species